CCUACGGGAGGCAGCAGUGAGGAAUUUUCCGCAAUGGGCGAAAGCCUGACGGAGCAAUGCCGCGUGGAGGAGGAAGGCCUGUGGGUCGUAAACUCCUUUUCUCAGAGAAGAAGUUCUGACGGUAUCUGAGGAAUAAGCAUCGGCUAACUCUGUGCCAGCAGCCGCGGUAAUACAGGGGAUGCAAGCGUUAUCCGGAAUUAUUGGGCGUAAAGCGUCCUGAGGUGGCUUACCCAGUCGACUGUGAAAGCUCAAGGCUUAACCUUGAAACGGCAGUCGAAACUUGUAAGCUUGAGUACGGUAGGGGCAGAGGGAAUUCCCGGAGGAGAGGUGAAAUUCGUAGAUAUCGGGAGGAAGGCCAAAGGCGAAAGCACUCUGCUGGGCCGAUUACUGACACUGACAGACGAAAGCUAGGGGAGCGAAAGGGAUUAGAUACCCUGUAGUCCUAGCCGUAAACGAUGGAUACUAAGUGUUGCGCGACUCAAAACGUGCAGUGCUGCAGCUAACGCGGUAAGUAUCCCGCCUGGGGAGUAUGCCCGCAAGGGUGAAACUCAAAUGAAUUGACGG
rnacentral:rRNA from 1 species